rnacentral:rRNA from 1 species
AUUGAACGCUGGCGGCAGGCCUAACACAUGCAAGUCGAGCGAGCGGCGGACGGGUGAGUAACACGUGGGUAACUACCCAUCAGAGGGGGAUAACACUUGGAAACAGGUGCUAAUACCGCAUACUGAUGGAUGACCCGCGGUGCAUUAGCUAGUUGGUGAGGUAACGGCUCACCAAGGCAACGAUCCGUAGCUGGUUUGAGAGGACGACCAGCCACACUGGGACUGAGACACGGCCCAGACUCCUACGGAGGCAGCAGUGGGGAAUAUUGCACAAUGGGCGCAAGCCUGAUGCAGCCAUGCCGCGUGUAUGAAGAAGGCCCUAGGGUUGUAAAGUACUUUCAGUCGGGAGGCGUUACCGACAGAAGAAGCACCGGCUAACUCCGUGCCAGCCGCCGCGGUAAUAC